CCUACGGGUGGCAGCAGUGAGGAAUCUUGGUCAAUGGCCGUAAGGCUGAAGCAGCCACGUCGCGUGAAGGAAGAAGGUUCUCUGAUUUUUAAACUUCUUUUUUAGGGGAAUAAAGGUAUCCACGUGUGGAUAUUUGCUUGUACCCUAUGAAUCAGCAUCGGCUAACUCAGUGACAGCCGCCGCGGUAAUACGGAGGAUGCGAGCGUUAUCCGGAUUUAUUGGGUUUAAAGGGAGCGUAGGUUGUCUUUUAAGUCAGCGGUGAAAGUUUGUGGCUCAACCAUAAUAUUGCCGUGGAAACUGGAAUACUUGAGUGUGUUUGAGGUAGGCGGAAUGCGAGGUGUAGCGGUGAAAUGCAUAGAUAUAACGCAGAACUCCGAUGGCGAAGGCAGCUCACUAAGCCAUAACUGACACUGAAGCACGAAAGCGUGGGGAGCAAACAGGAUUAGAUACCCUAGUAGUC
rnacentral:rRNA from 1 species